UACAGAGGUCUCAAGCGUUGUUCGGAAUUACUGGGCGUAGAGCGUGCGCAGGCGGUUGUGCAAGACAGAUGUGAAAUCCCCGGGCUCAACCUGGGAAUUGCAUUUGUGACUGCACGGCUAGAGUGUGUCAGAGGGGGGUAGAAUUCCACGUGUAGCAGUGAAAUGCGUAGAGAUGUGGAGGAAUACCGAUGGCGAAGGCAGCCCCCUGGGAUAACACUGACGCUCUGCACGAAAGCGUGGGGAGCAAACAGG
rnacentral:rRNA from 1 species